rnacentral:misc_RNA from 1 species
AACGCACAUUGCGCCCAUUAGUAUUCUAUUGGGCAUGCCUGUUCGAGCGUCAUUUCAACCCUUAAGCUCAGCUUAGUGUUGGGAAUCUACCGUGAGCGGUGUUACCCGGUACCAACCCAUUUUGGGGAGGUUACCCUGUAGCUACCCUGUAGUUCCUCAAAUCCAACGGCGGAGUCAUAGUCAUCUCUGAGCGCAGUAAUUUUUAUCACGCUUUUGAAGAUGCUAUAGCCCUUGCCGCUAAACCCCCAAUUUUUUAAUGGUUGACCUCGGAUCAGGUAGGAAUACCCGCUGAACUUAA